GACGGGGGGGGGCAAGGUGUUCUUCGGAAUGACUGGGGCGUAAAGGGCACGUAGGCGGUGAAAUCGGGGUUGAAAAGUGAAAGUCACCCAAAAAAGUGGCGGAAUGCUCUCGAAACCAAUUCACUUGAGUGAGACAGAGGAGAGUGGAAUUUCGUGUGUAGGGGUGAAAUCCCGUCAGAUCUACGAAGGCAACGCCAAAAGCGAGGCAGCUCUCUGGGUCCCUACCGACGCCUGGGGUGCGAAAGCAUGGGGAGCGAACAGGUUA
rnacentral:rRNA from 1 species